GACGAACGCUGGCGGCGUGCUUAACACAUGCAAGUCGAACGGAAAGACCCUGCUUUUGUGGGGUGCUCGAGUGGCGAACGGGUGAGUAACACGUGAGUAUCCUGCCCUUGUCUUUGGGAUAACUUCAGGAAACUGGGGCUAAUACCGGAUAGGAGCUCCUGCUGCAUGGUGGGGGUUGGAAAGUUUCGGCGGUUGGGGAUGGACUCGCGGCUUAUCAGCUUGUUGGUGGGGUAGUGGCUGACCAAGGCUUUGACGGGUAGCCGGCCUGAGAGGGUGACCGGCCUCAUUGCUACUGAGAUACGGCCCAGACUCCUACGGUAGGCAGCAGGGGGGAAUAUGGCACAAUGGGCGGAAGCCUGAUGCAGCAACGUCGCGUGCGUGAUGACGUCCUUCGGGUUGUAAACCGCUGUCGCCUGUGACGAAGCGUGAGUGACGGUAAUGGGUAAAGAAGCACCGGCUAACUACGUG
rnacentral:rRNA from 1 species